UUAGAGUGCGUGGGUAAGCUAUUUCAAUCCUAAAUAACAUGACUUUCAAUUUCAUUUCUUCAGGGAUCUGACAUGGUACACCGAAGAAAUUUUCUUAUAAGGUUACCGUUUUGGUGCGCUGUGUUCGAUCAAAAAGCAGACUAAUUACUUAACCCUGAUAGGUCGGAUCUUUGCAGCUACAUGACAAUUCAGGGCAACAAUAUACAACUGCGCGAUUGUUUACUCACAAUUUAAAUUGUCAUGGUCCCAUUGGUCCUCUCUCAGGAUCCAAUAGAAGACGACCUUUGUGUUUGCGACUACAUGUUUCAGGGUCAAAAGACGUUACCCACAUUCGGACGUUUACUGUGAGUCUGAAAAAUUCGUUUUACGCACCAUUUCCUACUAUAAUCAGAUUCCCGUGAAGUGAGUUUCUAUCAAAACGAGCAGCAUGCUGAAGAAUCAGAUCCUCGACAUAUUUGGGACAGAUGGCUGUAAACUGAUGAUUAAUCCAGGACUGGCAAAGCUACAAAGCCUUCUGACUGCAAAUCCACAGCUGGCCCCAGAAGCAGCGUCACCAUCAGGUAGGAGGGCACAUAAGAGGCCCCAUUUUUCUGCGUUCACCACUAUCAAGACGUGCAGUGGAAAAAGAAGACAGAUGCCUGCUGCUCAAGAAGUUUAGACCAUGCUGCUUGAUCGUUUUGCUGCAGAAGUAAUUGACGAGGCUUCCUUCAUUUUCUAAUGUAUACUUGAGGAGCCAAACCUACAAUUUGACAGUGAUUUUGAAUAUACUUGGAAACCUGAAGAGAUUUUGAAUUAUUUGGACCAAAGCAUAAGUAAUUUUUGGAUUAGCGUGCCAACUUUAGAUGACCUUCUGUUUCUGGAUAAUGAAAUGUGACAAAAUUCUCAUGUGAAAAAUUUACAGUUUCGGAAUUCAUAAUAGAGAAAUUUGUUAAAUUAUAAUCUAAAUUUAUUUUUUAUAUAAAUAGGACUACCCUAUGAUAUUUCAUAAUUAUAAACAGAUAUUUGUAUGAUAAUAAAGUCAGUUUCAUAAACAAAUAUUUAUAUGUUCUAAAGUCAGAAGUUUAUAAAUUGUUAUUUGUAUAUUUAUAGAUUGUUUGUAAAUAAAUAUCAGUAGAAUAGUACUGAAAAAAAACUGUCUACUAUUUUGGCCAGUCCCAAUUACAACCCUUUUAACUGGAAAGGUAGUAACGAAAAAGAAACUGAAGAAACUUUCUAAGAUACUUCUAUUAUGGUUUUCAGGCCUACACAUUUACAGCUUGUUAUAAAAAUUUGGAAGAAGCUGCGGACAUGGACUCCUUGGAGAGAUGACCGAACCAAAAGAAAAUGGACAUGAGAUCUGGUACAUGGAAUGUGAGAAGUAUAUAUAAGACGAGGUCACUCAGGACAGUGGCAGAA